rnacentral:lncRNA from 1 species
AAUAUAUAUUGUUUAUGCCUUAAAAUCAUUAAGAAAAAAGACCUAUCAGAAAAACAGAGCCAGGUCAGGUGGCUCACACCUGUAAUCCUAGCACUUUGGGUGGCCAAGGUGGGCAGAUCACUUGAGCUCAGGAGUUCAAGACCAGCUUGGGCAAUAUAGUAAGACCUCCUCUCUAUUUUCAAUUUUAAAACAAAGAGAGAGAGAGAGAGAGAGAAAGAAAUACAGGCCGGGCACAGCAGCUCAUGCCUGUAAUCUCAGCACUUUGAGAGGCUGAGGUGAGCGGAUCACCUGA